rnacentral:rRNA from 1 species
CGUGAGGGAAAGGUGAAAAGAACCCCGGGAGGGGAGUGAAAUAGAACCUGAAACCCUGCACUUACAAGCUGUGGAAGCACAUUUCUUGUGUGACCGCGUACUUUUUGUAGAACGGGCCAACGAGUUACGUUAAGUAGCAAGGUUAAGCACUUAAGGUGCGGAGCCGUAGCGAAAGCGAGUUUUAACUGAGCGUUCAGUUACUUGACGUAGACCCGAAACCGGGCGACCUACCCAUGAGCAGGAUGAAGCGAAAGUAAAAUUUCGUGGAGGUCCGAACCCACGAGCGUUGAAAAGCUCGGGGAUGACUUGUGGGUAGCGGUGAAAUUCCAAUCGAGCCCGGAGAUAGCUGGUUCUCCCCGAAAUAGCUUUAGGGCUAGCCUCAAGGUGAGAGAUACGGAGGUAGAGCACUGAAUGUCCUAGGGGGUAUUGCACCUACCGAAGACUAUCAAACUCCGAAUGCCGUCAUCUUAUACUUGGGAGUCAGACUGUGGGUGAUAAGAUUCAUAGUCGAAAGGGCAACAGCCCAGAUCGUCAGCUAAGGUCCCUAAAUGUAAGUUAAGUGGUAAAGGAUGUGGGAUUGCACAGACAACCAGGAUGUUGGCUUAGAAGCAGCCACUCAUUCAAAGAGUGCGUAAUAGCUCACUGGUCGAGUGAUCCUGCGCCGAAGAUUUCCGGGGCUAAAACUUACUACCGAAGCUACGGCAUCAGUAAUGAUGGGUAGGGGAGCUUCCCAUACGGGUUGAAGCAUGACCGUAAGGACAUGUGGACAGUAUGGGAGUGAGAAUGUUGGCAUGAGUAGCGAGAUGUGGGUGAGAAUCCCACAGGCCGUAAACCCAAGGUUUCCAGGGGAAGGUUCGUCCGCCCUGGGUUAGUCGGGACCUAAGCUGAGGCCGAAAGGCGUAGGUGAUGGACAACAGGUUGAUAUUCCUGUACUACCGAUAACCGUUUGAGAGAAGGGAUGACACAGUAGGAUAAGCUAAGCACACUGUUGGUUAUGUGUGCCCAAGCAUUGAGGCAGUCAAAGUAGGCAAAUCCGCUUUGAUAAUGCUGGGAUGUGAUGGGGAGCGAAAUUUAGUAGCGAAGUAGCUGAUUUCACACUGUCAAGAAAAGUCUCUAUCGAGGUUAAAGGUACCCGUACCGCAAACCGACACAGGUGGGUGAGGAGAGUAUCCUAAGGCCAGCGAGAGAACUGUUGUUAAGGAACUCGGCAAAAUGACCCCGUAACUUAGGGAUAAGGGGUGCCACCAUCAGGUGGCCGCAGAGAAUAGGCCCAAGCGACUGUUUACCAAAAACAUAGGUUUCUGCUAAGUCGCAAGACGAUGUAUAGGAGCUGACGCCUGCCCGGUGCUGGAAGGUUAAGGGGAUCUGUUAGAGCAAUCGAAGCAGUGAACUUAAGCCCCAGUAAACGGCGGCCGUAACUAUAACGGUCCUAAGGUAGCGAAAUUCCUUGUCGGGUAAGUUCCGACCCGCACGAAAGGCGUAACGAUUUGGGCACUGUCUCAACAACAGACUCGGUGAAAUUGUAAUUCCGGUGAAGAUGCCGGAUACCUGCGACAGGACGGAAAGACCCCAUGGAGCUUUACUGUAGCUUGACAUUGGGUCUUGGUACUACAUGUACAGGAUAGGUGGGAGGCUUUGAAACCAGGACGCCAGUUUUGGCGGAGCCAUCCUUGGGAUACCACCCUUGUAGUACUGGGACUCUAACCAUAGGCCAUGAAUCUGGUCUUGGGACACUGUCAGGUGGGCAGUUUGACUGGGGCGGUCGCCUCCCAAAAGGUAACGGAGGCGCUCAAAGGUUCUCUCAGUACGGUCGGAAAUCGUACGUAGAGUGUAAAGGCAAAAGAGAGCUUGAUUGCAAGACAUACAGGUCGAGCAAGGAUGAAAAUCGGACUUAGUGAUCCGGUGGUUCUGCGUGGAAGGGCCAUCGCUCAACGGAUAAAAGCUACCCUGGGGAUAACAGGCUUAUCUCCCCCAAGAGUCCACAUCGACGGGGAGGUUUGGCACCUCGAUGUCGGCUCAUCACAUCCUGGGGCUGUAGUAGGUCCCAAGGGUUGGGCUGUUCGCCCAUUAAAGUGGUACGCGAGCUGGGUUCAGAACGUCGUGAGACAGUUCGGUCCCUAUCCGUCGCAGGCGUAGGAAAUUUGAGAAGACCUGUCCUUAGUACGAGAGGACCGGGAUGGACGUACCUCUGGUGUACCAGUUGUCCUGCCAAGGGCAUGGCUGGGUAGCUAUGUACGGAAUGGAUAAGCGCUGAAAGCAUCUAAGCGCGAAGCCAACUUCAAGAUAAGAUUUCCCACCGCAAGGGUAAGACCCCAGAAAGACUAUCUGGUUGAUAGGUCGAAGGUGUAAGUGCAGCAAUGUAUUUAGCUUAUCGAUACUAAUAGGUCGAGGACUUGACCAA